rnacentral:tRNA from 1 species
CCUGGUGGCUCAGAUGGUAAAGCGUCUGCCUACAAUGCAGGAGACCCGGGUUCGACCCCUGGGUCAGGA